CACGUGAAAUUCCGUCGGAAUCUGGGAGGACCAUCUCCUAAGGCUAAAUACUCUCUAGUGACCGAUAGUGAACCAGUACCGUGAGGGAAAGGUGAAAAGCACCCCGGAAGGGGAGUGAAAUAGAACCUGAAACCGUGUGCUUACAAGUAGUCAGAGCCCGUUAAUGGGUGAUGGCGUGCCUUUUGUAGAAUGAACCGGCGAGUUACGAUUUGAUGCAAGGUUAAGCAGUAAAUGUGGAGCCGUAGCGAAAGCGAGUCUGAAUAGGGCGUUUAGUAUUUGGUCGUAGACCCGAAACCAGGUGAUCUACCCUUGGUCAGGUUGAAGUUCAGGUAACACUGAAUGGAGGACCGAACCGACUUACGUUGAAAAGUGAGCGGAUGAACUGAGGGUAGCGGAGAAAUUCCAAUCGAACCUGGAGAUAGCUGGUUCUCUCCGAAAUAGCUUUAGGGCUAGCCUCAAGUGAUGAUUAUUGGAGGUAGAGCACUGUUUGGACGAGGGGCCCCUCUCGGGUUACCGAAUUCAGACAAACUCCGAAUGCCAAUUAAUUUAACUUGGGAGUCAGAACAUGGGUGAUAAGGUCCGUGUUCGAAAGGGAAACAGCCCAGACCACCAGCUAAGGUCCCAAAAUAUAUGUUAAGUGGAAAAGGAUGUGGCGUUGCCCAGACAACUAGGAUGUUGGCUUAGAAGCAGCCAUCAUUUAAAGAGUGCGUAAUAGCUCACUAGUCGAGUGACACUGCGCCGAAAAUGUACCGGGGCUAAACAUAUUACCGAAGCUGUGGAUUGUCCUUUGGACAAUGGUAGGAGAGCGUUCUAAGGGCGUUGAAGCAUGAUCGUAAGGACAUGUGGAGCGCUUAGAAGUGAGAAUGCCGGUGUGAGUAGCGAAAGACGGGUGAGAAUCCCGUCCACCGAUUGACUAAGGUUUCCAGAGGAAGGCUCGUCCGCUCUGGGUUAGUCGGGUCCUAAGCUGAGGCCGACAGGCGUAGGCGAUGGAUAACAGGUUGAUAUUCCUGUACCACCUAUAAUCGUUUUAAUCGAUGGGGGGACGCAGUAGGAUAGGCGAAGCGUGCGAUUGGAUUGCACGUCUAAGCAGUAAGGCUGAGUAUUAGGCAAAUCCGGUACUCGUUAAGGCUGAGCUGUGAUGGGGAGAAGACAUUGUGUCUUCGAGUCGUUGAUUUCACACUGCCGAGAAAAGCCUCUAGAUAGAAAAUAGGUGCCCGUACCGCAAACCGACACAGGUAGUCAAGAUGAGAAUUCUAAGGUGAGCGAGCGAACUCUCGUUAAGGAACUCGGCAAAAUGACCCCGUAACUUCGGGAGAAGGGGUGCUCUUUAGGGUUAACGCCCAGAAGAGCCGCAGUGAAUAGGCCCAAGCGACUGUUUAUCAAAAACACAGGUCUCUGCUAAACCGUAAGGUGAUGUAUAGGGGCUGACGCCUGCCCGGUGCUGGAAGGUUAAGAGGAGUGGUUAGCUUCUGCGAAGCUACGAAUCGAAGCCCCAGUAAACGGCGGCCGUAACUAUAACGGUCCUAAGGUAGCGAAAUUCCUUGUCGGGUAAGUUCCGACCCGCACGAAAGGCGUAACGAUUUGGGCACUGUCUCAACGAGAGACUCGGUGAAAUCAUAGUACCUGUGAAGAUGCAGGUUACCCGCGACAGGACGGAAAGACCCCGUGGAGCUUUACUGUAGCCUGAUAUUGAAAUUCGGCACAGCUUGUACAGGAUAGGUAGGAGCCUUUGAAACGUGAGCGCUAGCUUACGUGGAGGCGCUGGUGGGAUACUACCCUAGCUGUGUUGGCUUUCUAACCCGCACCACUUAUCGUGGUGGGAGACAGUGUCAGGCGGGCAGUUUGACUGGGGCGGUCGCCUCCUAAAAGGUAACGGAGGCGCUCAAAGGUUCCCUCAGAAUGGUUGGAAAUCAUUCAUAGAGUGUAAAGGCAUAAGGGAGCUUGACUGCGAGACCUACAAGUCGAGCAGGGUCGAAAGACGGACUUAGUGAUCCGGUGGUUCCGCAUGGAAGGGCCAUCGCUCAACGGAUAAAAGCUACCCCGGGGAUAACAGGCUUAUCUCCCCCAAGAGUUCACAUCGACGGGGAGGUUUGGCACCUCGAUGUCGGCUCAUCGCAUCCUGGGGCUGUAGUCGGUCCCAAGGGUUGGGCUGUUCGCCCAUUAAAGCGGUACGCGAGCUGGGUUCAGAACGUCGUGAGACAGUUCGGUCCCUAUCCGUCGUGGGCGUAGGAAAUUUGAGAGGAGCUGUCCUUAGUACGAGAGGACCGGGAUGGACAUACCUCUGGUGUACCAGUUGUCGUGCCAACGGCAUAGCUGGGUAGCUAUGUGUGGACGGGAUAAGUGCUGAAAGCAUCUAAGCAUGAAGCCCCCCUCAAGAUGAGAUUUCCCAACUUCGGUUAUAAGAUCCCUCAAAGAUGAUGAGGUUAAUAGGUUCGAGGUGGAAGCAUGGUGACAUGUGGAGCUGACGAAUACUAAUCGAUCGAAGACUUAAUCAAAA
rnacentral:rRNA from 1 species